GGACACUCUUCACGUUCUAAAAAACUUUAGGUGUUUGGAGUGUUCCUUUAAUAUUGUAUAUGUAAAGAGUAUCACCAGUAGUAUACAAUCCCUUCAUUUUAUAAAGGUUACAUUACUGUUGUGUUUUAUACCCCACCUCCAAUAGACUGUAAGCUCGUUUGACCGAUUAUUCCUGUAAGUUUUCUUGUAAUUGUCCUAUUUAUAGUUAAAUCCCC